GGCCUAACACAUGCAAGUCGAACGCACUCUUCGGAGUGAGUGGCGCACGGGUGAGUAACGCGUGGGAACGUACCCUUCGGUGCGGAAUAACCACUGGAAACGGUGGCUAAUACCGCAUACGCCCCUCGGGGGAAAGAUUUAUCGCCGAAGGAUCGGCCCGCGUUGGAUUAGGUAGUUGGUGUGGUAAUGGCGCACCAAGCCGACGAUCCAUAGCUGGUCUGAGAGGAUGAUCAGCCACACUGGGACUGAGACACGGCCCAGACUCCUACGGGAGGCGGCAGUGGGGAAUAUUGGACAAUGGGGGCAACCCUGAUCCAGCCAUGCCGCGUGGGUGAAGAAGGCCUUCGGGUUGUAAAGCCCUUUCAGGUGGGAAGAUGAUGACGGUACCACCAGAAGAAGCCCCGGCUAACUUCGUGCCAGCAGCCGCGGUAAUACGAAGGGGGCUAGCGUUGUUCGGAAUUACUGGGCGUAAAGCGCGCGUAGGCGGAAACGUCAGUCAGAGGUGAAAGCCCAGGGCUCAACCUUGGAACUGCCUUUGAUACUGCGUUUCUUGAGUCCGGAAGAGGGCGGUGGAAUACCCAGUGUAGAGGUGAAAUUCGUAGAUAUUGGGUGGACACCAGUGGCGAAGGCGGCCGCCUGGUCCGGUACUGACGCUGAGGUGCGAAAGCGUGGGGAGCAAAC
rnacentral:rRNA from 1 species